rnacentral:lncRNA from 1 species
AACCACGGCUGAGGAGCCAUCCCCGUCAGCUCUGGUCCUUCAGGCUCCACAGGAAGAUCUGGACAACACCCCGAGGUCACCAUGGAGAUCCCACAGUGACCUCUGACACCUCCUGUGGUGGCACCUGAGGUCACCAACCCCAACCCAACCGUGGCUGACAGGUGACCCAGCUCAGCUCAUUGUCCUCCAGGCUCCACAGGAAGAUCUGGACAACACCCCGAGGUCACCAUGGACAUCCCUGACACCGUGGGGACCUCGGACACCUCCCUGGUGGUACCAGGUGUACCCCAGGUGUACCCAGGUGUCCCCAGGUGCAUCCAGGUGUCCCCAGGUGUAUCUCAGGUGUCCCCAGGUGUCCCCAGGUGUGUCCAGGUGUCCCCAGGUGUGUCCAGGUGUAUCUCAGGUGUCCCCAGGUGUGUCCAGGUGUCCCCAGGUGUAUCUCAGGUGUCCCCAGGUGUGUCCAGGUGUGUCCAGGUGUACCUUCUGGCCGAUGGCAGACACCAGGUAGCCGUGACAGUGACACAGGGCUGUCACCGGUCCCUUCUGCUCCUUCUCGUAGAGCACCUUGAACUUGUUCUUGGUGAGCGGCUGUCCCGGCUCCGGAACCACCUCGAUNUGUCAUUGUCACCAUGUCAUUGUCACUGGCAUUGUCACCGUGUCAUUGUCACCAGUAGUGUCACCGUGUCAUUGUCACAGUGUCACUGCCAUCACCAUUGCCGCCGUCGUCUUUGUGUCAUUGUCACCGUCACUGUCAGUAUCACUGUCACCAUCGCACCACUGUCACCGUGUCAUUGUCACCGUCAUGUCAUUGUCAUUGUCACCAUCACUGUCAGUAUCACUGUCACCAUCACACCACUGUCACCGUGUUGUUGUCAUCAUCAUGUCAUUGUCAUUGUCACCGUCACUGUCAUUGUCACCACCACCACCAUUGUCAUUGUCACUGUGUCACUGUCAUUGUCACAUCAUUGUCACAGUGAUGAUGACAACCGUGACAUGUCAUGACAAUGACAAUGACAGUCAUCC